CCUACGGGAGGCAGCAGUGAGGAAUAUUGGUCAAUGGGCGCAGGCCUGAACCAGCCAAGUCGCGUGAGGGAAGACUGCCCUAUGGGUUGUAAACCUCUUUUAUAAGGGAAGAAUAAUGACUACGUGUAGUGAGAUGCCCGUACCUUAUGAAUAAGCAUCGGCUAACUCCGUUCCAGCAGCCGCGGUCAUACGGAGGAUGCGAGCGUUAUCCGGAUUUAUUGGGUUAAAGGGGUGCGUGUGCGGUAUUUUAAGUUAGUGGUAAAACGUCGGGGAUUCACCCUGAUUGGCCAUUAAAACUGGAGUACGAGAGUACAGAAGAGGUAGGCGGAAUAAGUUAAGUAGCGGUGAAAUGCGUAGAUAUAACUUAGAACCCCGAUAGCGAAGGCAGCUUACCAGACUGUGACUGACGCUGAAGCACGAGAGCGUGGGUAGCGAACAGGAUUAGAUACCCGAGUAGUC
rnacentral:rRNA from 1 species